rnacentral:tRNA from 1 species
GCCGGGGUGCUGGAAUUGGUAGACAGCGCAGACUUAAAAUCUGCUGGGGAUUUAUCCCCGUGUGGGUUCGAGUCCCACCCCCGGCA